ACGAACGCUGGCGGCGUGCCUAAUACAUGCAAGUAGAACGCUGAAGAGAGGAGCUUGCUCUUCUUGGAUGAGUUGCGAACGGGUGAGUAACGCGUAGGUAACCUGCCUUGUAGCGGGGGAUAACUAUUGGAAACGAUAGCUAAUACCGCAUAACAAUGGAUGACACAUGUCAUUUAUUUGAAAGGGGCAAUUGUUCCACUACAAGAUGGACCUGCGUUGUAUUAGCUAGUAGGUGAGGUAAUGGCUCACCUAGGCGACGAUACAUAGCCGACCUGAGAGGGUGAUCGGCCACACUGGGACUGAGACACGGCCCAGACUCCUACGGGAGGCAGCAGUAGGGAAUCUUCGGCAAUGGGGGCAACCCUGACCGAGCAACGCCGCGUGAGUGAAGAAGGUUUUCGGAUCGUAAAGCUCUGUUGUAAGUCAAGAACGGGUGUGAGAGUGGAAAGUUCACACUGUGACGGUAGCUUACCAGAAAGGGACGGCUAACUACGUGCCAGCAGCCGCGGUAAUACGUAGGUCCCGAGCGUUGUCCGGAUUUAUUGGGCGUAAAGCGAGCGCAGGCGGUUUGAUAAGUCUGAAGUUAAAGGCUGUGGCUCAACCAUAGUUCGCUUUGGAAACUGUCAAACUUGAGUGCAGAAGGGGAGAGUGGAAUUCCAUGUGUAGCGGUGAAAUGCGUAGAUAUAUGGAGGAACACCGGUGGCGAAAGCGGCUCUCUGGUCUGUAACUGACGAUGAGGCUCGAAAGCGUGGGGAGCGAACAGGAUUAGAUACCCUGGUAGUCCACGCCGUAAACGAUGAGUGCUAGGUGUUGGAUCCUUUCCGGGAUUCAGUGCCGCAGCUAACGCAUUAAGCACUCCGCCUGGGGAGUACGACCGCAAGGUUGAAACUCAAAGGAAUUGACGGGGGCCCGCACAAGCGGUGGAGCAUGUGGUUUAAUUCGAAGCAACGCGAAGAACCUUACCAGGUCUUGACAUCCCGAUGCUAUUUCUAGAGAUAGAAAGUUACUUCGGUACAUCGGUGACAGGUGGUGCAUGGUUGUCGUCAGCUCGUGUCGUGAGAUGUUGGGUUAAGUCCCGCAACGAGCGCAACCCCUAUUGUUAGUUGCCAUCAUUCAGUUGGGCACUCUAGCGAGACUGCCGGUAAUAAACCGGAGGAAGGUGGGGAUGACGUCAAAUCAUCAUGCCCCUUAUGACCUGGGCUACACACGUGCUACAAUGGUUGGUACAACGAGUUGCGAGUCGGUGACGGCGAGCUAAUCUCUUAAAGCCAAUCUCAGUUCGGAUUGUAGGCUGCAACUCGCCUACAUGAAGUCGGAAUCGCUAGUAAUCGCGGAUCAGCACGCCGCGGUGAAUACGUUCCCGGGCCUUGUACACACCGCCCGUCACACCACGAGAGUUUGUAACACCCGAAGUCGGUGAGGUAACCUUUUGGAGCCAGCCGCCUAAGGUGGGACAGAUGAUUGGGGUG
rnacentral:rRNA from 1 species